GCAGGAGGACGGGGGCCCCAGUGCUGUCCCCUCUCAGCUUCUCGGCCCUCCCACCUUGCAAAAGGAAUCAGAUGCAAGGGCCUGAAUCAGGACCCAUCCGACGUUAGCUGGUCAUGUGGCCUCAAACCAGCCCCUGUGCUCUCCAGGAAAUGGGGGAUCCCCAUCUCCCCCACGCCCUCAUCAGUAACAGAUGCAUCUGCUCAAGAGUGGAGGUGGGAGGCAGGCAUGGCUUCCCCAGAAUUGCGGGGGGCUCCAUGUCUGCCCCCCAAGCCCUGACAGUCCAGGCACCUUCCUGCUGACGCCCUUUACAGUGCCCCAAAACCACAAAAGUUCACCCCUCUGAUGUUUGGAACUCGUGUAUUUCAUUUAGCUUCAAAAUGUAAAGAUCCCCUCUUUUUGGUCCUCAUGGUAUUUGAUGUGCGUUUACCGAAGCCUGCAUCUCAGGUGUGAUACCUGCAUCACGGCUGGACCCAGAGACCACGGGUCCUAGUCCUCCUGGCUUCCCAGAGGCAGGGCCGUGAUGGGAGUGAGUGAGCAGCGGUGGGUUCACAAGCGAGAGCAGGGGGCACAGCUUCCACCCGUCCUAGCCAGGGUGAGACCACCCUGCCUGCUGGUGGAGCCAGGCAGGCCCAGAGCCCACCUGGAAGAUGGAGGCUGCACGGCACUGCGUGGUCCGGGGCAGCCCCAGGGCAGCAGAGCAUUCCCUGGCCUUCCCUGCUGGUGCCAGCUCCUUACCACAGAGACG
rnacentral:lncRNA from 1 species